AGAUUUGUAUAAAGAUUUGAUCACAGAUGCUCUUAAGGAUUCUAUAUAUGUUCAGUCAUGGAAACACAAUCUACAAUCUGACGAAAAGGUAACCGAUGUGACAGAUGUAUAUUUUGAAAAGAGGUUAACUUUCAGCACUACCACUGAUCACUCAAAAUGGGCUGUUACAAAAAAAGAGUCAUGGACCUGCAUCAGUGAUAUAAACAGACAUGUAGCUCAGUAUAGCAGAGGAGGAUUAGCUUUGUGUUUGUACAAUACAGAUGUUGCCAAACAAUUUCGAAAACUCGUUGAACAGAAAAAAAGGAACAAGCCCAAAAAUCAACAAAAACCAACGCAAUCAGAAGAAAGAAACCUAAUUGAAAAAAUAUAUGAAUUUGUUGUCUGGGGUUUGGGAUUUUGGUUUGAAAAUACAGCAUAAUCCGGAUUCCUCUGAUUAUGUCACAUUAUUCUCAAUCAAAUGCCAAACUCGGCUCCUACAGAGAGAUAUACGGAGGCUAACAUGACAGAAAAAUAAUAAACUUACAUAUCAAAAUCAA